rnacentral:lncRNA from 1 species
GUGGAAUUAAUCUAGGUACGCUCAAGCUGGUUCGGACUCCAUGGUUAUCAAAAGAGUCUAGAAAAGAAAUAGUAAGAAACAAGAAACAAAUAGGAGUUAUCACACCCAAUAAUAACAUAAACAAGACUCACAAAGUAAUAUGAAAAAUGAUUACACACUUUGAAAUAAUACUAGUACUAUAGCUACUAGUGCGGAUAACAAAACAAAGUCUUCUUACA